rnacentral:rRNA from 1 species
UACGGAGGGUGCAAGCGUUGUUCGGAAUUACUGGGCGUAAAGCGCACGUAGGCGGAUUUGUAAGUCAGGAGUGAAAUCCCGGGGCUCAACCUCGGAACUGCCUUUGAUACUGCAAAUCUCGAGUCCGGAAGAGGUGAGUGGAAUUCCUAGUGUAGAGGUGAAAUUCGUAGAUAUUAGGAAGAACACCAGUGGCGAAGGCGGCUCACUGGUCCGGUACUGACGCUGAGGUGCGAAAGCGUGGGGAGCAAACAGG